AUCAGAUAUGUCUAGUUAUUAUAUUAAUAUUUGAUAAUAUCUGAUUGAAUCUGAUUGGGUCGUUGUAACAACUCACCCGCGAUUAUCGUCGUAAUAAGUAUACCAGGUAUGUAAAUAUGAAACCGGAAUUUGCCUAUAAAUAUUUCUAGCUAACAAUAUAGUUAUUUCUAAACUGCAUAAUUGAUGUUAUUUACAUGUGAACAUAUUACAAAAGAUAUUUGACUUAUAGUAAUACAAGUUUCAUAAGACUGCAUAGUUUGUAAUAGCAUUGAACAUGUCGAAUUUUGUUCCCAGAAAUUACGAUUUGCGUACAGCAUUAAUUUUCUGUUACCGUUUGAAAAACAACUGUUACAGAAUCCCAUAGAACGCAUGUCAAAGCUUACGGUGAGCAAGGUCUUGAAAAAUUACAGUACUUUGAGUAGUUUAAAAAUUUCAAUGAGGCGAUUUUGACAUGAGAAACGAAGAAUAUGGACAAAUUUUGAUGGAAG